rnacentral:misc_RNA from 1 species
GAUGAAGAACGUAGCGAAAUGCGAUACUUGGUGUGAAUUGCAGAAUCCCGUGAACCAUCGAGUCUUUGAACGCAAGUUGCGCCCGAAGCCAUUAGGCCGAGGGCACGCCUGCCUGGGCGUCACACGUCGUUGCCCCCCCAUCUACUCCUUCGGGAUUGCGGGGGGCGGAUGAUGGCCUCCCGUGCGCCUCGUCGCGCGGUUGGCAUAAAUGCCAAGUCCUCGGCGACGCACGCCACGACAAUCGGUGGUUGCGAAACCUCGGUUGCCCGUCGUGUGCGGUCGUCGCGCAUCGAGGGCUCGAAAAAAUUGCCGGGCUCCGGCUCGGCUUUCAACGCGACCCCAGGUCAGGCGGGGUUACCCGCUGAAUUUAAGCAUAUCAAUAAGCAGAGGA